AGCGAACGCUGGCGGCAGGCUUAACACAUGCAAGUCGAACGCCAUCUUCGGAUGGAGUGGCAGACGGGUGAGUAACGCGUGGGAACGUGCCCUUUGGUACGGAAUAGCCCCGGGAAACUGGGAGUAAUACCGUAUAAGCUCUUCGGAGGAAAGAUUUUAUCGCCAAAGGAUCGGCCCGCGUUGGAUUAGCUAGUUGGCGGGGUAAAGGCCCACCAAGGCGACGAUCGGUAGCUGGUCUGAGAGGAUGAUCAGCCACACUGGAACUGAGACACGGUCCAGACUCCUACGGGAGGCAGCAGUGGGGAAUUUUGGACAAUGGACGCAAGUCUGAUCCAGCCAUUCCGCGUGCAGGAUGAAGGCCCUCGGGUUGUAAACUGCUUUUGUACGGAACGAAAAGGUUCCCAUUAAUACUGGGAGCUCAUGACGGUACCGUAAGAAUAAGCACCGGCUAACUACGUG
rnacentral:rRNA from 1 species